CUAGGUGUAGCUCAGCUGGUAGAGCGCUACCUUGGGGUGGUAGAGGCCGCAAGUUCAAGUCUUGUCACUUAGACCA
rnacentral:tRNA from 1 species